rnacentral:rRNA from 1 species
GGGCUCACACAAGCGGUGGAGCAUGUGGUUCAAUUCGAAGCAACGCGCAGAACCUUACCUGGGCUUGACAUGCUAGGAUUAUCCCUAUGAAAGUAGGGUAGGCCCUUCGGGGUACAACUAGUACAGGUGCUGCAUGGCUGUCGUCAGCUCGUGUCGUGAGAUGUCGGGUUAAGUCCCUUAACGAGCGAAACCUUUGCCCUUAGUUACCAGCGAGUAAAGUCGGGGACUCUAAGGGGACUGCCGGUGUCAAACCGGAGGAAGGUGGAGAUGACGUCAAGUCCUCAUGGCCUUUAUGCCCAGGGCCACACACGUGCUACAAUGGGGUGCACAGAGCGAACCGAGAGCGCAAGCUGGAGGAAAACGCAUAAAUCACCCCCCAGUUCAGAUCGGAGGCUGCAACUCGCCUCCGUGAAGUUGGAAUCGCUAGUAAUCGCGGAUCAGCUACGCCGCGGUGAAUGUGUUCCUGAGCCUU